CCGCGGGCUCCCCCCUGUGGCCCUUUCACUCAGUGCUCCUUUCAUUCACUCCCUUCGAGCGCCUCCUGUGUGCUUGGCGGUGGGCGCUUUUGGAGAUGGAGCUCCCAGUGCCGUGCGGAUGUCACAGACCAGGGCCGACUGGACAGUGCAUUGUGAUCUGGGCUGUGGCACUGCAGUGAUGGGCUGUGGGAACACCGGGCAAGAUCCCUGUCCCGCCAGAGCUAAGGGGUCUUGGAAGCCUUUCCAAAGCUAUUCCUGGAGGUUCCACCAGGACAAAGGACUACUGUCAGAACCAAAAGAAUCAAGCUGGCUGACAAUGCACCUUGACCAGAAGUGGGCCGCUCAUCCUCAGCGUCUCUGGCCGGUCUCAUCUGUGGGACUAAGUUCUUUGGCUUUUGCACACUAAAUGUGGCUCUUGGCCAAGCUGAUUUCUGUUUCCGAUUGAGCAUGAUCAUGUCUGGCUGAUCAUGUCCACACUUGGUGGCAGCAGGGAUUGAAUCUGGGGUUUAAUUUUAUCAUCUCACCAUUAAGUCAUUUCUGUCAGGUGGCAAAUGUCAGAAAUUAGGUCCUUAUCAGCUGCCAUCAGCAGCUGGAAUCUGGUUUCGCUCUUAGUCUUUUUUGUCCGAGGAUUCUGUUAUUUCCUGAAAUUUGAGAACGCAGCAUUGAAAGGAUUUUGGUGUUUCCCCAACUAUUGAUAGAUGUGUUUGUAUGAUCUCUGUGUGCCAAAAUGGCGGGGGGGGAAGGUCUUCUAAAGUGUCUUACCUAAGAGAAGCCUUUGAAUAAAAAGUGAAUCAAAUUCAUAGCACAUAAUAAUCAACUUUCAUUUCUCUAAACAAAUUAAAGUCUCUUUAUGACUUCUGAAAUAAGGCUAAAGAAAGGAGACUGCCAUUUUGCAAAGGGUAUGGACACUGAAAAGAAAUAACUGUCCUGCUAAAUAGAGAAAGAAAUUACAAAAUUACUCAGAUUUUCAGUAAAGGUGUUCUUUUGAAAGACCUAAUGGUGCUUAAUUAUGUCCUAUGUAUUUUAAUUACAUAUUGUACAUAUCUUGUUUCUUUAACUGAUCACAUUUGUAAUAGAUAUGGAUACUUAUUUCUAUCCUAGAUUUUGUUGCUUUAUCAAUAUUGGCUCUUCUAGUUUUGAAUAAGUUGAGAAAAUUUUCCAUUUUAUAAAUAUAAAAUAUUUCUAAAUAAACAAAUUGAUGUACUUUGUAUACUUCUGAAGAGAGUUAAAAUAUCGUAUUAUGAGAUCUCUUAAAAUGGAGCUAACUCCCAUUCCAACUGGCUUUUAGAAACAAUAUUAACACAUUAAAGACAUGUAAAAAGAAAUGGAAAAAAUAUUAUUCUUCCUUAUCUAUUUAAUAUAUUGGCUCUUUAAAAUUUUUUCCUUGGCAAAUAUAUAAAUCAAAGAUUAAAAAAAGCUUUACCUGUUAAAAUAAUAUUCUUGGUUACUAGGUUACAAAGUAUGAAACAAAACAUAAUUCUAUAAGAUAACGAGGUCAUGUGACAUUCUUAUGCAAGAUGACUCUUUGGAAAAACCAAUCUGUUAUAAAAAUUUAAAAACAUGUUUUCUUCCUAAUUUUACCUCCAAUUACAAAUAAUGUUAGCAAAAUAUCCUAGUUUAUACAAGUUUUGGGUUUGUUUUCUCACAAAAAGCCUAAUCAUUUUGAAUUUGAUUUUUUUUUUUACUGCUUUUGUAGAUUAGAUAAACUAAUAUCACUCUAAGAUUAUGAAAUUUCAAAAAUUACGUGUUCAACUAAAUUAGAAUGAAUAAUAGGUAAUGUGUUUCUAAAAAGAAAUUAGGUUUUAGAAUGCUAUAAAUCAUAAGGACUUAAUGUGUCAACUCGAAUUUUAAUCUUCUGAUUCUCAGUUAACAUAAGACUUUACUAAUAUUAAUUUGAGUUAAUAAAGUCUGUUGACACCUGUAUAUAAUUUUAAUAUGCUUAGGCUCUUCAUUAAUACAUUAUAGAAUAGCUAUCAAUAAACAGUCAAAAAAUAUAUGAAAAUAAAUACCUUUGGGUUAAAGUACACACAUUUUUUUUACAGAAUGUAAAGGACUGUGUGAUGGUAUGAAGAUGUGUAUGCAAGAUAACGUUUUUGUUUGUCAAGGGAAAAUAAUGAAUAAUUUUGUCUAAAUUCCUAAUAAUUAUUGUUGUGCUUUAAAAAUAUUGCUUUUAGAUAAAUUAAGGUCUCUGGAGAUUUGUUUAUCGUCUUCACUAUUUUGAGGUAACAGUUAAUUACAUCUUUAUAAAUUGAUUAUUUAUUAUACCCCAUUCUUUCCAAUAUUGUUGAUAUUAUAAUAAAAGAACCAGAAUCCCUUAAUCUUAUCCUCCACUGCUGGUUUCUGCCUUUUUCUUAUAUUUGCCUAAAGGCUCCUGGUACCAAGCUAAAAAUCAAGAAUUGAAUCUUUCAUAAGAAAUAUAACAAGGACCUCAGUGAAGGACUAUUAUCUGAUACUCUUGACAAUUGUCUUCAUGGUAUAAUUCAUGGGUAUAACGGAUAUCAUCACCUCAGACAAUCACCUCUUAAGACUGAACCAAGUAACCGAGUCAGGAUGUCCAGGAAUGUUUCAGUGCAGGAGCAGACAUGUGGCAAUAGGCUGCCUAACCCAAGAUCAACAAAAUGAGAAUUAACUACUGCAGACUAAACAGACUAAAUGAAUUGACUUAAUUAUGGUUAUUCUAUUUUUAAUGACUUUUAAAAUCAUUUCUUCUUAAUAUAUCGCUAACACUCAACAGGUUAAAACCAAAAUAAAAUUCCUUUAAAAUGGCAUCUAUUUCUAAGUGAACUAUCAGAACUGAAAGAAAAGAAUCCUUAAUAUCAAUCAUAAACAAAUAAAACAUCAGACCAAUUUAAAAAUAAUAAUUCUGUAAAAAAAUAACAUAUUUGUUGGCCUUGUUCUAUAAGACGAUGAUAAAAAUGGUUAAAUGUUAUGCAGUGGCUUAAGACAGUCCAGCCUCAGAGUUGUAAAGACUAUGAGCUCCUGGCAGAUCAGGAGCAUUAAUAAACAUGGAACCUCUGAGAAAGAGGAUACCUUACAGCUGUAAGUAUUGUAAGUAAAACCUGGUACCAGUGAAUCACAUGGUUCUUGGUUCCUAAUCUAGUAGAACUAAUAAAGAGAAUAAGGUAUUUCUGACAAAUAAAAGUAAAUUUUAACCUCGGGGCCUUUACAAAACCCUUUAUGGGAAGACAGAAAUUACCUCUGGAGGCUGAAUUCUGUUGCUCUAGUUUUGUUAACCAUACAAAAGGUCUUUAUGUAUUAAACAAAAUCUCCUGUUAGCUAUGCAGAUAAAACUGCCAAAUAAAAAAAUAUGUCAAACUAAUGACACUAAAUCACAAGCUCAUUGGGCAAGUUAUGUUGUUGGAACUGUCCUUAAUGGCAGGAACUUGACUGCAAGGAGAGACUGUGGAAUCAAGAACUCUCGCUUUGUCUUGCUUUCCUAUCACUAACAUGCCAAAGUAAACAAAAGGAAAACAAAAAAUAAACACCAAACAAAAAUCCACUUUGUACCCUGAGUGUAACAAAAAUAACUUGAUCACUCUGAUUGGUUCUGGUCCCCUAAAUAAUAAAACCUUUACUAUUUCUUAGAAACCUGGACUCCCUAACCAAACAUUUUUAUUCCUAAUUUUUGUUAUGCUGAUGUCUCAAGAUAGUUCUGACCUUUGUGGAUUUGAUGAUCACGUGAGACAGUUGCUGUUUUCUCUUCAAAAACAGACCAAUGUAAACUUAAUGAUAAUUUUGUGAGUACUUUCCCCCUUUAAAUACCUGUUCUUUUUUGUAUUUGGUGACUUCCUUGCAUUCUUGGCAAGUAAAAUUUUUUCUAAAUGCUU